rnacentral:lncRNA from 1 species
AUGACCACGAGCCGGUGGAGGAUCUCGAGUCGGUGGUUUCUGUUUUCUCUCAGGCAUGAGACAUAAGGCGCCUCCUUCAAAACAAAAAUUCUUUGAUCUCCUUUCAAACUUCUCUUCCUCCGACAGGUGGUUUCCGUAUGUAUCCUCUUCCUUACCCGACUACGCGUUCAAGCAUCUUUGUCAACUUCUUUGUCUCCGCCUCUCUCUUGGUUGGCGCUCCUAGCCUCUGCCAAGGAGACCUCUGUCCUCUCUGGUUUAGUUGUUCCUAUGGUGUUGCGUCGGGUUGGGCUCUGGUGGUCCUACGUGGAGGCUCGAAUCGAGAGAGGAGUGUGGCACCUCGGGAAAAUCUCUAGGUGUAUCUCCAGUUGAAGAUCUGGUGGUGCACGGAGUCGGAUUAUCCUUCUUUAUCUUGGUGUAGCUGCUGUGUGUCUCUCAUGGUGGUGUGGUUAGGCGAUUUUUUUUGGUGGCGGGUGCUGUGAGGUUUGUGAGAAUGGAUUUCUGCAGUGUGGUUAGUGAUAACACCGUAUUUUGACCACUUUUAUGGAUCGUUUUGAAAUAGUUUUUCUAUGUUUUUAAUUGCUUUCAAGUACUUUUAUUACGUUUUUCUAGUAUUUGUAGUUCCAAGACUCUUUUCAGGUAACUUAGGGAAAAGCUUAACAAAAUAGAUAGAAAACCAGAUUUCAGCUCAGAGUCAAACCGUCAGAAGUUCACCCCUGAUUGAAGGCCUUCGCAACGUCUGAUCCAGCUCAAAUUUGGAGAUCUUAAAGAUAGAAGUGUCAGCUUUCCAGCACACUUUACAGCUUGGCAAUCCAACGGUUCAAUCAAAAGAUACGCGAAGAGCAAGAUGUCCCGUAAACCAGCCAGCGAGCAUUUCCACCCGCGGCCAACAAGCAAUUUCCCGCGUCAGAAGCACCGCGACCGCGGCCAGCAAUCCAUUUCCCGCGGUCACAGCCAUCCCGACCGCGGCCAGCCAACUCCGAGCCCGAAGGCCCAUUUCUGAAGCCCACAAUGAUUCCCUCAUUUGGAGAAACCCUAAGUGACGUCCAGAGAUGUCUUGAGCACUAUAAAUACAUGUUUUAGGAACCCUAAAAAGGGAGAACCGAAUCAUUACC